GUCCUACGUGAUCUGAGUUCAGACCGGAGUAAUCCAGGUCGGUUUCUAUCUAUUUUAAGGUCCCUCCUAGUACGAAAGGACAAGAGAGACAGGGCCUACUUAAAAUAAGCGCCCUAUUUACUCAGAUGAGUCAAUCUUAAUCUUAUAAUAUCUACACAUACCACCCAAGAACAGGGUCUA
rnacentral:rRNA from 1 species